AAAGGAAUUGACGGGGGCCCGCACAAGCAGCGGAGCAUGUGGUUUAAUUCGAAGCAACGCGAAGAACCUUACCAGGGCUUGACAUGGUCAUGGCGUAUCUGGAGACAGAUAUUUCUUUUACAAGACAUGGUCACAGGUGGUGCAUGGUUGUCGUCAGCUCGUGUCGUGAGAUGUUGGGUUAAGUCCCGCAACGAGCGCAACCCCUAUUGCUAGUUGCUAACAUUUAAAGGUGAGCACUUUAGCGAGACUGCCGGGGACAACUCGGAGGAAGGUGGGGAUGACGUCAAAUCAUCAUGCCCCUUAUGUCCUGGGCGACACACGUGCUACAAUGGCCGUAACAGAGGGCAGCUAAGGAGUAAUCCGGAGCGAAUCCCAAAAAUCCGGUCUCAGUUCGGAUUGUGGGCUGCAACUCGCCCACAUGAAGUCGGAGUUGCUAGUAAUCGCGGAUCAGCCAUGCCGCGGUGAAUGCGUUCCCGGGCCUUGUACACACCGCCCGU
rnacentral:rRNA from 1 species